rnacentral:snRNA from 1 species
AUCACUUCUCAGCCUUUUGGCUAAGAUCAAGUGUAGAAUUUUUUUCCCUGUUUCCAUUUUGGUAAGUUGUAUUUUUCUAGAAAAUUUCU